GAGUUUGAUCAUGGCUCAGGAUGAACGCUAGCGACAGGCCUAACACAUGCAAGUCGAGGGGCAGCACAAGGUAGCAAUACUGAGGUGGCGACCGGCGCACGGGUGAGUAACGCGUAUGCAACCUGCCUGUAACAGGGGAAUAGCCUCUUGAAAGAGAGAUUAAUGCCGCAUAAUACGAGAUUCGGGCAUCCGGAUUUAGUUAAACAUUUAUGGGUUACAGAUGGGCAUGCGUUUCAUUAGGUAGUUGGUGAGGUAACGGCUCACCAAGCCGACGAUGAAUAGGGGUUCUGAGAGGAAGGUCCCCCACACUGGUACUGAGACACGGACCAGACUCCUACGGGAGGCAGCAGUGAGGAAUAUUGGUCAAUGGACGCAAGUCUGAACCAGCCAAGUCGCGUGAAGGAUGAAGGUAUUAUGUAUUGUAAACUUCUUUUGUCAGGGAAUAAUGGGUGUCACGUGUGACGCAGAGGAAUGUACCUGACGAAUAAGCAUCGGCUAACUCCGAGCCAGCAGCCGCGGUAAUACGGAGGAUGCGAGCGUUAUCCGGAUUUAUUGGGUUUAAAGGGUGCGUAGGCGGUUUGUUAAGUCAGUGGUGAAAGUUUGCGGCUCAACCGUAAAAUUGCCAUUGAAACUGGCGAACUUGAGUACAGUAGAGGUAGGCGGAAUUCGUGGUGUAGCGGUGAAAUGCUUAGAUAUCACGAAGAACUCCGAUUGCGAAGGCAGCUUGCUGGACUGUAACUGACGCUGAGGCACGAAAGCGU
rnacentral:rRNA from 1 species